GAAAAAGAACCAAACAACGGUCUAUACCAUCUUACACAAGUCAUUAUAAAGCAAUUAAUGGCUAAUGAGAAGAUGAUGAUAUACAUCCAUGCACAGUCUUCAACUCUCCUCAUGUUUGUAUGUGUACAAUUUGAAAGAAAAGAGUACAUAGGGAUGGAGUUCUCAAAUAUUUAACUAGAAAAAUAUAAUUUCUCAAAAAUUUCAACGUAGGUAGACUCAUUUUCCAUGACUUUUUAAAAAGUCAAAAGGAACUAUUUAGACCCAAAAGCUGGUUUUGGACCCGUUAGGCUAAUUUUAUGGAAGUGCAUCCGAUAGUUAGAAGAAAUUUUAAAAGAAGUUGAACAAAUUUGACUUCCUUUAAAAGUAAUUUUGGAAUAGGAAGUACUUUUAAAAAUUGGUUUUCAAACAAAAAUUAAGAUAGCUUCCUCCAAAAGUUCUUCUACAAGAAGUAAAAGCCAUGUCAAGUGGGCCCAUAGUUGAUUUAGGAUAUGCAUGAAGUUUUGAAUAUGUUGUUGUAGUAGUUGGGUGCUAAUUGUAUGGCUUAUAGGUUGUGCAAGAGACAAUUGAUAAAAAUGCUAAGAUCGAGUUUAGGCCAAACACGGACGAUGACCCCCACAAGAGGAAGCCCGACAUUUCAAAAGCCAAAAAACUUCUUGGAUGGCAGCCCACUGUUUCUUUAAGGGAAGGACUUCCUCUCUUGGUAACUGACUUCCGACAACGCAUAUUUGGUGAUAACACAGUCACUCUCUCCAUAUAAUGCUUUGUUUUACGCAUAUGCAAGGCCUGUAGGAGUAUGAGAGAAAUUAGGAAAAGAGAAGGAAAUUUUGAGUGAAACAUUUGUCUAUGCUAUUUGUAGUAUGCUAUGCUAUUAGUUCCUUGAGAAAAAUGUAUUAAAGAUUACAAUAAAAGAACGCAAGAAAAGAAUGUCUUGAUGGUAUGCUAUGCUAUUUGUAGUACUCUAUUUUUUUUUUUUAAAUUUUGACCUUCAGCAAAAAUGGCAGCUCUAUUCACUCCAUCAUUUUCGUAUUGUCGCAUAAUUUCCCAAUCACCUUUAAUUUGGACAUUUUUCUCCGAUUUCUUUAUAAUAAAAACUCCUAUGCUGAAUCUUCUUCAAUUAUUAGCAUAAUUAUAAUAAAAGGUUCAACAAUAUCUUGUUUUGAUCUAACAUAUCACAUGCUAAAUUGAGAUAUGGCGUAGAAUCACAUUAUUUAGUGCCUAUAAUUAACAAAUCUGAAGGAAAUCUAAUUUCAAGCAUUUCCCCUCAUCCUCAAACUUCUUGAUGUAAAAAUUGAUUAAUUUGGUGUGUUAGACAAGAUAACGCCGGUUAACAAGCAUAAAAAAUUUAUCAUGUACAUAUUCUUUCUUUUGUCUAAUCUAACGUGCCAAACACGUCUCAAUUAUAUUAAUUUGAGAUGGUAAUCAAACAACGUCAUUUCAAGUGGCAAGAGUGUACAUUUUUCUUUGUAUUUUAUUAUUUUGGAAGAAAAGCAUAAAAUUGCUAGAUUAUAGUACACACUUGAUGAAAUUUCAAGUCCUAAAUGCAGAUUUAUCGUUUAUUGCAACAAAAAUGCUUCGAUUAAUUAAGCGUGAAGUAGGACUUUGUUAUGACACUGAAUAGGAAAAAAAUUUAUCUAUUUAUUUAUUUGCUUGUUUAUUUGGAAAUUCCUGUUGGUAGUUUAUUUUAUCUCAUGCUUGAAAAUUCACCAAGAAAGUAAGAAGAAGAAGGAGAAGAACAUAUUCUGUGUUGUACUAUACUAUUUUUUUUCUUGCUAAAUGUAAAUUUAUUAUUAUUUAUUCAUGGUGUUAUUAUUUUUUUUUCAAUUUUACUGAAAUCAUAGUAUCAUUUCGUCUUUGGAUUGAAUAAGGAAUUGAUUACUUUGUUCUGGUUUCUAGAUUCUGUUAAGUAGUGUUUUCUCAUUGUUGUUUAUAUUUUUUAAUCUUACUCUAGUUCUAUAAGGAUUAUUUAUCUUGUGAUUUGAUUAUUUUUUGGCAUAGUAUUAUUUACUACUUUAUUUAAUGUGUUUUGUACCUGCAUUUGCAAGUUAGACUUUUAAUUUGUAUAGGUCGUUUUAUUAUAGAAUUUCGAGAUAGUUUACAGUUUAUCAAGACAAAAUGUCUCGGUACAUUAUUCAUCCUUUUUAAACUUUGAAUUGCCACCGGUUCCGAACUACCAUCUCUCCCCAACUGUCUCCACCACCCCUCAUCCCCAACCCCACCUCUCAUCUGCACGAUAGGCUAAAUUUGUUAAAGAAGUGAGGUUGAGUGGCGGUGGUGGGUCAAGGGAUUAUUGGUGGAGUUGUGGUGACGAUGGGGCAGGUUGGUCGGGGUAGAAGUAGAAGUGAGGGUAUUACUAUUUUUUGGUUGAUCAAUUUUGUAGGCUUUAUUUUAAAUAGUAACUUCAUUUUUAUUUUUUUUGGUGCAAUUUUGGCAGUAUAGGCACUUAAUUUUCUUUAAUGCAAUGUAAUCUCCUGGUUGUCUGUUAAGUUGUAUGGUAUCAAAACUGGUUGCAUUGAUUUUAUAUCAAAAGUUUCAUGGACUUUUCUUUGAGUGAAUUACCCAAAUGGUCACUGAACUUUGUAAAAAAUUUUCACGGAGUCACUAAACUUUAAAAAUCACCCAAUUCAUUACUGAACUUUGCAAAAAGUUUCAGUGGGUCAACUGGUUACAUUGAUUUUAUAUCAAAAGUUUCAUGGACUUUUCUUUGAGUGAGUUACCCAAAUGGUCACUGAACUUUAUAAAAGAUUUUCACGGAGUCACUGAACUUUAAAAAUCACCCAAUUCAUUGCUGAACUUUGCAAAAGGUUUCAGUGACCCACUGAAACCUUUUGCAAAGUUCAGUCACUAAAACCUUUUGCAAAGUUCAGCAAUGAAUUUGAUGAUUUUUAAAGUUCAGCAACCCCUUAAAAACUUUUUGCAAAGUUCAAUGACCAUUUGGGUAAUUAACUCACUUUUAAGUGCUAAAGUUCAACUGAAUGAAUAGCUCUGAUGUUUUAUCCCCGGAAUGGUUUCAUUCUCCCAAUCCUAUUUUCACAUAUUUCAUAGACCUAUUAUUCAACAUCUGAUGCAGAACCUGAAGUGGUACUCUUUUCUCCUCGCGAUAAUUUACAUCUUUUCAUUUAUUAUAGACCUCUAUGUAUUACAUUAGCCAAAAAUGUCUAGGAAAGGUAUGAUGGAUUAGGACGUAAGCAAGUUGAUGUGACGAAACUAUAUCCUCUCUCACCGAGGUUUUUUCUCGUCAAGCAACAGUAAACAUAGGUAUGCUCUUAUAUUAUGUUGUGACUCAAAUUCCAUUUGAUUUGGAAAUUUGAUUCAUGGAGGAAGCCUAGGUAAUUUUGGUUCGGAAGUCCGGAUAGAUAAAUAAUCAAAUUUCAUCUUAGAUUGGGAGUUUAAUUGGGAAAAGGACUUCGAAAUGGGCCAAAAAGAGGCGACGUGGCACCGUAGCGUGGGGUGCAACAAAGAGGAGCAGCUAUGGGGGAAGCCGUAGAGCCAAUAGCCUGUUUUGGGACUACAGGGCUAGCACCCAGUGGGUGGCACCGCGUCACCACCUGAUGGACAUGAUUUGUUUCCUUGUUGAUUUUUUCCAUCUUUUUUGUGCUCUACUUUGCCCAAACUGCACCACCUGAUGGGAAGGAUUUGUUUCCUUGUUGAUUUCUACCGCAUUUUUUGUGUUCUACUUCAUUUAGAACUCCAAGUUUGGGCUCCUAUAAAUACUUCACGAGAUGUAAGCUCUUUAUAGGCUCAACUGACAAUAAGAUCAUUUUUAUAUACAUUAAAAACUUGAAAGGAUUGUUUAUAUUUAGAUUGAGAGUGUUAAAUCUUGUAAAACAAUUUUAGUUUCUUGGUAUGUUGAAAUUCUCCACUUCCACAUAAAUCUUUUGUUCUUGUGUGAUGCAUUAUUUUUCAUAUUGCUCUUAUUUUCUCAUCUUUAUUAUUUGGCCCAGUUCUCAACACUCUUGUAUAAAUUUACUCUGAAUGGCUUUAUGUUUGCAUUUGUUGAGUUCACUCAUUUUUCAUUUGAUGAUACGAGUUUCUUUACCAUCAAACCUGUUGGCUACCUAGAGGUUUAUUUAUGCAUUGAAUGAAACUCCAUGUUAUUUUGUUUCUCCAGGCACCAUUGGCCAUGUGGCUCAUGGCAAGUCAACAAUGGUAAAAGCCAUAUCUAUGAACUGUGGUCCAGGUAUAACUGUUUUACUCUGGAAAUGUAUGCCUUAUUUUGAUUCUCUUUUGAGAAUUUUAAAGACAUCUUCUCUUUCCUAAAAGGUUGUGGAUAUGCCUUUGUUAUUGAGUUUCUAAGUUGCAAAAAUUAACUGAGGACACAUUUGAAAAAUUCUUAUAUUCAUAGACUGUUUGUUUAAAAAAUGACCAUCAAGCUUAGAUAUGCCAAUACAAAGAUUUACAAAUGCGAAGAUGAUCAAUGUUCUCAACCAAUGUGCUACAAGUUAUUUGUGCAGGGUGUUUGAAGGUGAAUAAGAUUAUUUAGGUUCGUCCUGGUAUUGUAGCUAAGGAUGAAAGUGGCAACAUCUACUGCAGACCAAUGUAUUCUAGAAUAGUUUCAUUACAUACCGUUCAAAAUGAAUUGCAAUUUGCUGUUCCUGGAGGCCUCAUUGAGGUUGGAACCACCAAGGGCCUAAAUUUACAUGUGCCAAUAAGUUGGUGGGACAGGUUCUUGAAGAGGUUGGUUCGCUUCCUGAGGUGUUCGUUGAACUAGAGGUAAGGGGUGUUGCAAGAAAAGAACUUCAACUUUCUUUUAGUUAUGAGCAUGAUUUGCUAAGCUUAAAAGUUUAGUUAUAAUGAAAAAAGCAAGUUUUAGAAAAAAAAAGAAAAAAAGAAGCAUUUAGCUGAUGCUUAACCUUUCUCUCUUUAAUGUAGAAAACGAAAAGAGCAUAGGCAAAGUGUAGUGUUCUUCUGUGAUAUUGUGUGGCAUUUGAGUUUGUUUAAAGAUCCAGUCUUAGGCUGUAUUGCCAAUGCCAUGUUUUCGUGUUUCACUUUGCUUUUUCUAACGAAUGCACCAAAUAUGGCUUCAUGUUUUUGGCAUGUUGAUCUUGCAUCAUUUAGUGCCUACUAGUUAAGAAUGCAUACGUUGCAUGUGUAUAACUAAUUUCACUCGUAUACGUAAACAUUCACACAUCGAUAAACAUAUACACAUAUAAUACAUAAGGGGCUCACACUAAAACAUUAAACUUUGGGAAAAAUAAGAAGAGUAUUAAAAUAUUCAACUUUAAAUUAUAAAACAAGCAAAAAUCUUGCACUUCGUAGCCAAGAAAAAGAAUAAUUUUAAAGUAUGCAUGCUUUGUAAAGGCAAACAAUAACUUGAGGCAUGAUGAAAAUUCACCAAAGUCAAGUAGAGAUAUCACAAGGUUCAAAUCUAUCACCCAAAUCAUUUUUUCAUUCUCU
rnacentral:lncRNA from 1 species